rnacentral:rRNA from 1 species
CCCUUAGAUGUUCUGGGCCGCACGCGCGCUACACUGACGAAUGCAACGAGCUUAUAACCUUGGCCGAAAGGUCUGGGUAAUCUCCAAAUUUCGUCGUGAUGGGGAUAGAUUAUUGCAAUUAUUAAUCUUCAACGAGGAAUGCCUAGUAAGCGCAAGUCAUCAGCUUGCGUUGAUUACGUCCCUGCCCUUUGUACACACCGCCCGUCGCUCCUACCGAUUGAAUGGUCCGGUGAAGCCUCGGGAUUGUGGCUGGUUUCCUUUAUUGGAGGUCGGUUGCGAGAACUUGUCUAAACCUUAUCAUUUAGAGGAAGGUGAAGUCGUAACA